UGCUUUUUUCUUUCUAUGUAAUCUUAAAAUUGGAAUAAAUAGUCUUUAAAAAAAAAAAAAAAAAGAGCAGCAGAGCGCGCAGUCUGUCCGCUUCUCCCAGAGCUUCUCGGGGCUGCGGGGGAAGUCCGCCCCCCCCCCAGCCCCAAAGAGCAAAGAAGCCAAGACAGCGAGCGGGAUGGAUCCCGCUCGCUGUCUU